CCAGAGCUCGCCUCCAGAAUCCCCUUCCUAUCGAUCCCCUCGAGAACGACGCCGCCGCCAAUCUCACUGGGAAAACCCUGUCAGAUCUCGCCUCCACGUUACGAAUCGGCGUCCGAUCUCCUUGAAGACACAGCGCCACCGAUGCCGAUCUCACUGGGAAAACCCCGCCAGAUCUCGCCUCCACGUUACGGAAUCGGCGCCCGAUCUCCUUGAGGACACAGCGUCGCCGAUCUCACUGGGAAGAACCCACGGGAUCUCGCCUGCACGCCACGGUUCUGGAUCGCCGCCGCGGACGUAAGAGGUCACGUCGGCGCCGCCGCGGACACAGGGCGGUUUCAACCCCAGGUAUGUUGUACGUGAUCAAACAAACAAAACUCAAUAAUCUGGGGUUAAACAAAUCGAUAGGAGUGCACGCCCCAGGUAUGCUGUACACGGAUUCUAUUUGUAAGUUCGUCGUGUAGAGGUCAAACAAUUCUGGGGUUCAAUCAAAUGACGCCCCAUCUUGACUGAAGUUCUGUAACAUGUACUGGCUGUAGUUCAGUCAAAUGACGCCUCAUAUUGAUCCCUGUUCUGUGACAUGUAUAGCAUAAAUCUACAGCAAGCUGCCCUUAUGGACCGAAGUCCUGUACAAUAGCAAGCUGCCCUUGCGAUCUUCGACGGCCUUUAGAACUGUUGUAAUUUCACUUGAUCUCGCUGCAAUCAGAUGAACAGUUCGUGUUAGCAUUUUGAAUUUUUAACAUGUAAGGAGCAAUCAGAUGAACAGUUCAUGUUUGCAGAGUAGAGUCUGUUAGACAUGUCUUUUUUCUUUUGACCUCUACAGAAAAACUCAUAUAUCAAUGUAGCAGAGUCUGUUGGACAUAUAUGCCCUUAUGGACUGAAUUUCUGUACAAUAGUUCUAAAGGCAUUAUUAAGAUGUAAGCAACAAAGUAUUUGCUAAUAACCUGAGUCUGUUGGACAUGUCUUUCUUUUUUUAUAUUUACAUAUGGGGAAUCAACACAGCAAGCCAACGGAGCAGACGACAUCGUCACAUGUACCUCCAGGUAUAUGUCCAACUAUAAAUCGUGCUAUACAUGUCAAACACCAUCCCAGGAAACUGAAUGUGUUGCAGGCCCGAUGGAGGCGACAGAUGUUAACUACUAUAACCAAGGGAUUAUACCCGUAGCCGACGAUGUUGACAAAAUUUACCCAAGUAGUCCAGCUAUAAGGCUGUGCAAAAUUAUGGAGUUAAAUUUUACUAGCUUGGGCAUGACCGAUUCUAAUGUACCAAGCAUGUGACUUGUAGGAGUCCAUAUUCCUCCCUCGGAACGGGUGAUAGUUGAACAGACCGAUGGUGAUAGCACAUAUGAUAGUCCAGGUAUAUAUGUACCUCCAGGUAUAUGUUCAACUACAAAUUUUGCUAUACAUGUCAAGCACCAUCACAGGAGACGCGAUGGAUGGGACAAAUGUUGACGACUAUGACCCAGAUAUUAUACCCGUAGCCGACGAAGUUGACAUGAUUUACCCAAGUAGUCCAGGAGUCCAUAUUACUCCAUCGGAACGGAUAAUACUUGAACAGACCGAUGGUGAUAGCACAUAUGUUCAUCAACCUUCCCAUCUGAUUUCGGCUCUGCAGCAACUGAUCAUCGGGAGCACUAACACUACUAUGAUGACCGAGAAAAUCAAGUCUUCUUCCAUGAACCGAAGCCAACACAUGCUUGCGGCAGAUUGAGCGACAAAAGGACCGGUCGCCACAGAACAGGAUUCCUCACAUUCGCUCGUUAAGAUACUCGAUUUGUUAUAUAAGAAGUUCUAUCUAUUGUAAU